GAUGAACGCUGGCGGCGUGCCUAAUACAUGCAAGUCGAGCGAACAGACGAGGAGCUUGCUCCACUGACGUUAGCGGCGGACGGGGGAGUAACACGUGGAUAACCUACCUAUAAGACUGGAAUAACUUCGGGAAACCGGAGCUAAUACCGGAUAAUAUAUUGAACCGCAUGGUUCAAUAGUGAAAGACGGUUUUGCUGUCACUUAUAGAUGGAUCCGCGCCGCAUUAGCUAGUUGGUAAGGUAACGGCUUACCAAGGCAACGAUGCGUAGCCGACCUGAGAGGGUGAUCGGCCACACUGGAACUGAGACACGGUCCAGACUCCUACGGGAGGCAGCAGUAGGGAGUCUUCCGCAAUGGGCGAAAGCCUGACGGAGCAACGCCGCGUGAGUGAUGAAGGUCUUCGGAUCGUAAAACUCUGUUAUUAGGGAAGAACAAAUGUGUAAGUAACUAUGCACGUCUUGACGGUACCUAAUCAGAAAGCCACGGCUAACUACGUG
rnacentral:rRNA from 1 species